rnacentral:rRNA from 1 species
UACGUAGGUGGCAAGCGUUGUCCGGAAUUAUUGGGCGUAAAGCGCGUGUAGGCGGCUUUGCAAGUCGGGUGUGAAAGCCCCGGGCUCAACCUGGGAAUUGCAUUCGAGACUGCGUAGCUAGGGUGCGGAAGAGGGAAGCGGAAUUUCCGGUGUAGCGGUGAAAUGCGUAGAUAUCGGAAGGAACACCAGUGGCGAAAGCGGCUUCCUGGUCCAGCACCGACGUUCAGGCACGAAAGCGUGGGGAGCAAACAGG